rnacentral:lncRNA from 1 species
GACGAGGCAGGCACAGCUGCCAGAGACCAUCCAGGACGUGGAGAGAAAGAGUGCCCCAACCAGUCUUCAGGAGGAAGAGAUGCCCAUGAAGCAGGUCCAGAACUAAGUGGGAGUGGAGGCAGGCCCUCCACAGAAGCUCUGCAGCAGGGGCUGGGAGAGCAGAAGGGCAGGCCCUGCAACUCAGGCUGGGAGUAUCGAACCCUCUGCCUAGGGCCGGAGUUGCUGCCAGUACCCGCUCCCUCUGCUCAUCCAUCCUUGAUUAUUUGGCUUCUAGGAACAGUUGACUUCCCAGAAUGCAGUGGGCUGCUGGGCACCCCUCUCACGGUUGGGGAGGAUUCUGUAAAUAAAGGUGCCCCUUGGGUUGGGGCAGUGGUGACGAGCUGUGGGAAGAGCCCUGGAUAGGAAGCCACUGAGUCUGCCCUGGGCUCUGAUAAAACCUUCACCAUUAACUUGCUGUGUGACCUUGGGCAUGUGGCUUUCCCUCUCUGGGCCUCAGUCUGUUCAUCUCCCAAAUGGAUAAUGAAGCCUCUUGGGAGGCCCUACCAUAGGAUCUGUUGCCAUGCUCAAAUGAGUUACUGAAUAAGGUGCUUCUGCUUCUUCUAGAGAUGGUGCUAAAGAAAGGACUAGCAUAUGAGACUUCUGGUACCAAUGGGGCUGGUGGGCAUGCUGUCCACUGUGUGGUGCUAGGACUGCCAAUGCCAGGCCCAAGGGACAAAAAGAACAGAGCUUUUUGUUCUCAUGGCUGGCCCUGCUACCUCCGAGGCACCCUGCAGGGCAAUGCAUGUCAUCCCAACCCCCACACUCCCCAUCCUCCAACCCACUGGUCUCAUGCCCAAAGAAGAGUUGAAGGCAUGGGAGCCAACAUUUUAUUGAAGAAGCCACAGAGGCUGAAAUUCAAUAAACACAAGUUUUAUGAGU